rnacentral:rRNA from 1 species
AUUGAACGCUGGCGGAAUGCUUUACACAUGCAAGUCGAACGGCAGCACGGGGGCAGCCCUGGUGGCGAGUGGCGAACGGGUGAGUAAUACAUCGGAACGUGCCCGGUCGUGGGGGAUAACGUAGCGAAAGUUACGCUAAUACCGCAUACGAUAUGAGGAUGAAAGCGGGGGACCUUCGGGCCUCGCGCGAUCGGAGCGGCCGAUGUCAGAUUAGGUAGUUGGUGGGGUAAAGGCCUACCAAGCCGACGAUCUGUAGCUGGUCUGAGAGGACGACCAGCCACACUGGGACUGAGACACGGCCCAGACUCCUACGGGAGGCAGCAGUGGGGAAUUUUGGACAAUGGGCGCAAGCCUGAUCCAGCCAUUCCGCGUGCAGGACGAAGGCCUUCGGGUUGUAAACUGCUUUUGUACGGAACGAAAAGGCUCUGGCUAAUACCUGGGGCUCAUGACGGUACCGUAAGAAUAAGCACCGGCUAACUACGUG